AACGCUAGCUACAGGCUUAACACAUGCAAGUCGAGGGGAAACGAUAUUGGAAGCUUGCUUCCGAUAGGCGUCGACCGGCGCACGGGUGAGUAACGCGUAUCCAACCUGCCCACCACUUGGGAAUAACCUUGCGAAAGUAAGACUAAUACCCAAUGACGUCUCUAGAAGACAUCUGAAGGAGAUUAAAGAUUUAUCGGUGAUGGAUGGGGAUGCGUCUGAUUAGCUUGUUGGCGGGGUAACGGCCCACCAAGGCGACGAUCAGUAGGGGUUCUGAGAGGAAGGUCCCCCACAUUGGAACUGAGACACGGUCCAAACUCCUACGGGAGGCAGCAGUGAGGAAUAUUGGUCAAUGGGCGAGAGCCUGAACCAGCCAAGUAGCGUGCAGGAUGACGGCCCUAUGGGUUGUAAACUGCUUUUAUAAGGGAAUAAAGUGAGCCUCGUGAGGCUUUUUGCAUGUACCUUAUGAAUAAGGACCGGCUAAUUCCGUGCCAGCAGCCGCGGUAAUACGGAAGGCCCGGGCGUUAUCCGGAUUUAUUGGGUUUAAAGGGAGCGUAGGCCGGAGAUUAAGCGUGUUGUGAAAUGUAGAUGCUCAACAUCUGCACUGCAGCGCGAACUGGUUUCCUUGAGUACGCACAAAGUGGGCGGAAUUCGUGGUGUAGCGGUGAAAUGCUUAGAUAUCACGAAGAACUCCGAUUG
rnacentral:rRNA from 1 species